rnacentral:rRNA from 1 species
GAUGAACGCUGGCGGCGUGCCUAAUACAUGCAAGUCGAGCGAACAGGCGAGGAGCUUGCUCCUCUGACGUUAGCGGCGGACGGGUGAGUAACACGUGGAUAACCUACCUAUAAGACUGGGAUAACUUCGGGAAACCGGAGCUAAUACCGGAUAAUAUAUUGAACCGCAUGGUUCAAUAGUGAAAGACGGUUUUGCUGUCACUUAUAGAUGGAUCCGCGCCGCAUUAACUAGUUGGUAAGGUAACGGCUUACCAAGGCAACGAUGCGUAGCCGACCUGAGAGGGUGAUCGGCCACACUGGAACUGAGACACGGUCCAGACUCCUACGGGAGGCAGCAGUAGGGAAUCUUCCGCAAUGGGCGAAAGCCUGACGGAGCAACGCCGCGUGAGUGAUGAAGGUCUUCGGAUCGUAAAACUCUGUUAUUAGGGAAGAACAAAUGUGUAAGUAACUAUGCACGUCUUGACGGUACCUAAUCAGAAAGCCACGGCUAACUACGUG